rnacentral:rRNA from 1 species
UUCCUGGCUCAGAUUGAACGCUGGCGGCAGGCUUAACACAUGCAAGUCGAGCGGGGGAAGGUAGCUUGCUACCGGACCUAGCGGCGGACGGGUGAGUAAUGCUUAGGAAUCUGCCUAUUAGUGGGGGACAACAUCUCGAAAGGGAUGCUAAUACCGCAUACGUCCUACGGGAGAAAGCAGGGGAUCUUCGGACCUUGCGCUAAUAGAUGAGCCUAAGUCGGAUUAGCUAGUUGGUGGGGUAAAGGCCUACCAAGGCGACGAUCUGUAGCGGGUCUGAGAGGAUGAUCCGCCACACUGGGACUGAGACACGGCCCAGACUCCUACGGGAGGCAGCAGUGGGGAAUAUUGGACAAUGGGGGGAACCCUGAUCCAGCCAUGCCGCGUGUGUGAAGAAGGCCUUAUGGUUGUAAAGCACUUUAAGCGAGGAGGAGGCUACUCUAGUUAAUACCUAGGGAUAGUGGACGUUACUCGCAGAAUAAGCACCGGCUAACUCUGUGCCAGCAGCCGCGGUAAUACAGAGGGUGCGAGCGUUAAUCGGAUUUACUGGGCGUAAAGCGUGCGUAGGCGGCUUAUUAAGUCGGAUGUGAAAUCCCCGAGCUUAACUUGGGAAUUGCAUUCGAUACUGGUGAGCUAGAGUAUGGGAGAGGAUGGUAGAAUUCCAGGUGUAGCGGUGAAAUGCGUAGAGAUCUGGAGGAAUACCGAUGGCGAAGGCAGCCCAUCUGGCCUAAUACUGACGCUGAGGUACGAAAGCAUGGGGAGCAAACAGGAUUAGAUAC